GACGAACGCUGGCGGCGUGCUUAACACAUGCAAGUCGAGCGGUAAGGCCCUUUCGGGGGUACGACGAGCGGCGAACGGGUAGGAGUAACACGUGGGUGACCUCGCCCUCAGCUCUGGGAGUAAGCCCGGGAAACUGGGUCUAAUACUGGAUAUGACUCCAUGACGCAUGUUGUGGGGUGGAAAGCCUUGUGCGGCUGAGGAUGGGCCCGCGGCCU
rnacentral:rRNA from 1 species